rnacentral:rRNA from 1 species
UGAUGGCCUACCAAGGCGACGACGGGUAGCCGACCUGAGAGGGUGACCGGCCACACUGGGACUGAGACACGGCCCAGACUCCUACGGGAGGCAGCAGUGGGGAAUAUUGCACAAUGGGCGAAAGCCUGAUGCAGCGACGCCGCGUGGGGGAUGACGGUCUUCGGAUUGUAAACCCCUUUCAGUAGGGACGAAGCGCAAGUGACGGUACCUGCAGAAGAAGCACCGGCUAACUACGUGCCAGCAGCCGCGGUAAUACGUAGGGUGCGAGCGUUGUCCGGAAUUACUGGGCGUAAAGAGUUCGUAGGCGGUUUGUCGCGUCGUUUGUGAAAACCCGGGGCUCAACUUCGGGCUUGCAGGCGAUACGGGCAGACUUGAGUGUUUCAGGGGAGACUGGAAUUCCUGGUGUAGCGGUGAAAUGCGCAGAUAUCAGGAGGAACACCGGUGGCGAAGGCGGGUCUCUGGGAAACAACUGACGCUGAGGAACGAAAGCGUGGGUAGCAAACAGGAUUAGAUACCCUGGUAGUCCAUGCCGUAAACGGUGGGCGCUAGGU